CCUAACACAUGCAAGUCGAACGGUAACAGGGAAAAGCUUGCUUUUCCGCUGACGAGUGGCGCACGGGUGCGUAACGCGUAUACAAUCUGCCUUCAAGCGGGGAAUAGCCCAUGGAAACGUGGAUUAAUACCCCAUAGUAUAUAGACAUCACCUGAUGAUUAUAUUAAACAUUUAUGGCUUGAAGAUGAGUAUGCGUCCUAUUAGCUAGAUGGUGUGGUAACGGCACACCAUGGCUACGAUAGGUAGGGGUCCUGAGAGGGAGAUCCCCCACACUGGUACUGAGACACGGACCAGACUCCUACGGGAGGCAGCAGUGAGGAAUAUUGGACAAUGGAGGCAACUCUGAUCCAGCCAUGCCGCGUGCAGGAAGACGGCCCUAUGGGUUGUAAACUGCUUUUAUACGGGAAGAACCACAUCUACGUGUAGAUGCUUGACGGUACCGUAUGAAUAAGGACCGGCUAACUCCGUGCCAGCAGCCGCGGUAAUACGGAGGGUCCGAGCGUUAUCCGGAAUCAUUGGGUUUAAAGGGUCCGUAGGCGGAAUAAUAAGUCAGUGGUGAAAGUCUGCAGCUUAACUGUAGAAUUGCCAUUGAUACUGUUGUUCUUGAGUCAUUAUGAAGUGGUUGGAAUGUGUAGUGUAGCGGUGAAAUGCAUAGAUAUUACACAGAACACCUAUUGCGAAGGCAGAUCACUAAUAAUGUACUGACGCUGAUGGACGAAAGCGUAGGUAGCGAACAGGAUUAGAUACCCUGGUAGUCUACGCCGUAAACGAUGGUUACUAGCUGUCCGGCUUAAUUGAGGGCUGGGUGU
rnacentral:rRNA from 1 species